AUACGGAGGAUCCGAGCGUUAUCCGGAUUUAUUGGGUUUAAAGGGAGCGUAGGUGGAUUGUUAAGUCAGUUGUGAAAGUUUGCGGCUCAACCGUAAAAUUGCAGUUGAAACUGGCAGUCUUGAGUACAGUAGAGGUGGGCGGAAUUCGUGGUGUAGCGGUGAAAUGCUUAGGUAUCACGAAGAACUCCGAUUGCGAAGGCAGCUCACUAGACUGUUACUGACACUGAUGCUCGAAAGUGUGGGUAUCAAACAGGAUUAGAUACCCUGGUAGUCCACACAGUAAACGAUGAAUACUCGCUGUUUGCGAUAUACAGUAAGCGGCCAAGCGAAAGCAUUAAGUAUUCCACCUGGGGAGUACGCCGGCAACGGUGAAACUCAAAUGAAUUGACGGGG
rnacentral:rRNA from 1 species